rnacentral:rRNA from 1 species
AACGAACGCUGGCGGCAGGCCUAACACAUGCAAGUCGAGCGCCCAGCAAUGGGAGCGGCAGACGGGAUAGUAACACGUGGGAACGUACCUUUCAGUUCGGAACAACCAAGGGAUACUUUGGCUAAUUCCGAAUACGCCCGUAAGGGGAAAGAUUUAUCGCUGAAAGAUCGGCCCGCGUCUGAUUAGCUAGUUGGUGAGGUAAUGGCUCACCAAGGCGACGAUCAGUAGCUGGUCUGAGAGGAUGAUCAGCAUCACUGGGACUGAGACACGGCCCAGACUCCUACGGGAGGCAGCAGUGGGGAAUAUUGGACAAUGGGCGCAAGCCUGAUCCAGCCAUGCCGCGUGAGUGAUGAAGGCCUUAGGGUUGUAAAGCUCUUUCGUCAGGGAAGAUAAUGACGGUACCUGAAGAAGAAGCCCCGGCUAACUUCGUGCCAGCAGCCGCCGUAAGAC